ensembl:snoRNA
AUCCUUUUGUAGUUCAUAAAUGUGAUGAUUGGGUUUUCACACUCAUGUGAGAUGUGCUUCCCUCAAACCUUGUUACGAUGUCGUGAUA